rnacentral:rRNA from 1 species
CUCUUAUUUAUAUUAUAUAAUAAGUAUAGCCUACCCAGUGUAUAUAAUUAACGGUUACAAUAGUAUUAAAGUAGCGUAAUAAAUUAUCAUCUAAUUAAUGAAUAUAAUGAAGGUUUAAUGAAUUAAACUCUGUCUUUAAAAAAUAAAAUAAAAUUAAUAAUUUAGUGAAAAAUCUUAAUUUUUUUAAAAGACGAUAAGACCCUAUAGAACUUAUUUAAAAUUUUAAAUUUACUGGGGAAGUAAAGAUAUAUAAAAAAUUAUCUUAAAAAACAAAGACUUAAGGUUUUUUAAUUAAUAAAUAACCAUAUUUAUAAAAAUAAUUAAUGACUAAAAAGUUACCUUAGGGAUAACAGCAUUAAAAUUAUAAAAAGCUCUUAUUUUAAUAAUUUUUAAUGACCUCGAUGUUGAAUUAAGAUAAAUUUAAAAAGCAAAAGUUUUAUUUAAUUAGGUCUGUUCGACCUUAAAAAUCUU